rnacentral:lncRNA from 1 species
CUUUUUCACAUUUCUUUUUAUCCCUCCCCCAAUAUGUGAUAAUAUACUGAUAUAUGAAGGACGUAUGCUUGUUUUAAAGGGCCAACAAAAGAAGAUAUUGACCAAACUGCUGCUCUGGAGGUGGUCCCAGGUAAGAGGAGAAAUGACACAGGUAGCUCCUGCUUUGAAGAAGGGAAGGGAAACCUGAAUUCUUGGGGGCAAGCUAAAAGGGAAACAACUGUGAGUGCCAUGGAUUGACUGAGAAACACCUGAUGUUCUGCAAUCCCGGACGCUGCGCUGAGCGCUGAGUAGUCAUAUGCUGAAUGGUCAUCAGAACCUGCUGAACCCACUUCAAAGGAAAACCAGCAUCGAAGCAAAAGCACUGGCUUGGAAACUGUGAGAUUUGACAUGAAUUCUCUGAUGGAAGAGAUCCAGUUGCAUUAUGUGAUAGCAACCAGAUCAUAUGGAAUGCAAAAAAAAAGCUGAACUUGAUGAAAGAAGAAGAGGAAGAGAUAGAGUCUGGGAGCUGUGCUUAUUGUCACCGACCAACAUCAAGAGAAGGAAGCCAGAAGAAAAGGAGUCCUUUGUGAUUAUCUGUACAGGACAAGCUGUGAAAGAGUAAGGGAUCUUAAAGAGAAAAUAGAAACUAUCUGGCAAAGAAGCCGUGUUACUUUCAUACAAUAAUCAGUCUCCCAAGAUCUACAGACUGCCUUUAAUUUCCUUCUAUUUGAUGUUAGCCCCUCAUGCAUGCAAGCACUGAACAAAAACAUCUAAAUACGUACCUCUAACUUUCGAAUGAGCAUAUAACACUGGGAUAUGAGUAGCCAGUGAUAAUAAAAUUACAAUUCCAUGUCAAAUACAGUUCAUAUUAUCUUUCUCAGUCUUGAACUAAUUUCUUUACACACUUUACA